CCUGGUUUCAUCUGCAUGUUUCCCUCUCACCAGAUAACCAAACCGAUAUCAUGACCAGCAGCUUUACAGCUGUGGCUCCAGCAAACAUCAGCUGAUACUAGAAAUUAAUAUUAAAUAAAUUUUAACAACAGCUGAUCAAGCUUAAACGUGCUGCUGUUGUUUAACGCGACAUCCGCUGGUUUCCUCUUUCUGGUGCAAAGUGGGCGAUAAAUACAGGGAGUGCAGAAUUAUUAGGCAAGUUGUAUUUUUGAGGAAUAAUUUUAUUAUUGAACAACAACCAUGUUCUCAAUGAACCCAAAAAACUCAUUAAUAUCAAAGCUGAAUGUUUUUGGAAGUAGUUUUUAGUUUGUUUUUAGUUUGAGCUAUUUUAGGGGGAUAUCUGUGUGUGCAGGUGACUAUUACUGUGCAUAAUUAUUAGGCAACCUAACAAAAAACAAAUAUAUACCCAUUUCAAUUAUUUAUUUUUACCAGUGAAACCAAUAUAACAUCUCCACAUUCACAAAUAUACAUUUCUGACAUUCAAAACCAAAACAAAAACAAAUCAGCGACCAAUAUAGCCACCUUUCUUUGCAAGGACACUCAAAAGCCUGCCAUCCAUGGAUUCUGUCAGUGUUUUGAUCUGUUCAGCAUCAACAUUGCGUGCAGCAGCAACCACAGCCUCCCAGACACUGUUCAGAGAGGUGUACUGUUUUCCCUCCUUGUAAAUCUCACAUUUGAUGAUGGACCACAGGUUCUCAAUGGGGUUCAGAUCAGGUGAACAAGGAGGCCAUGUCAUUAGUUUUUCUUCUUUUAUACCCUUUCUUGCCAGCCACGCUGUGAGUACUUGGACGCGUGUGAUGGAGCAUUGUCCUGCAUGAAAAUCAUGUUUUUCUUGAAGGAUGCAGACUUCUUCCUGUACCACUGCUUGAAGAAGGUGUCUUCCAGAAACUGGCAGUAGGACUGGGAGUUGAGCUUGACUCCAUCCUCAACCCGAAAAGGCCCCACAAGCUCAUCUUUGAUGAUACCAGCCCAAACCAGUACUCCACCUCCACCUUGCUGGCGUCUGAGUGGGAC
ensembl:lncRNA